GCAGAAGCCAUUCGGGGGCACGAGAGAGAUCCCACCACAGCUCCUGCGGGGCCCUUCCUUCCACCCGCAUUUCUGGGCCUCCACUUAGAACUCCUUGGAUGGUGACCUGCGCAUCCCGGGAGAAACUUUGUUAACGACUUAUGUGCACCUGGUUUGGGUCAGAAUUAAACAGCCACGCUGAACACCGUGCCCUUGUGGAAUGACAAAUUGAUAUGCUUAAAAGAUGCCUGUGGACAACUGGUUGAGAUCCUGAUCGAGGUUCGUCGUUCUUUACAACGAGACGAAGGCAUGGACUCGGAUGGUUCAACCAUCUACUUGCACGCUUCAGUGAAGCAAGGUGCCUUAUUGGAGAGGUCCACACGGCAAGGAUCUGAGGGCAGCGCCUGGCCAACAGCCAACAAGGACAGAAGCCCUCAGUUCAACA
rnacentral:lncRNA from 1 species